rnacentral:tRNA from 1 species
UCCCUCUUGGCUCAGCUGAUAGAGAAUCUGCUUGCAAUGCAGAAGACCUGGGUUUGAUCCCUGGGUUGGGAA